UGGAAAUGAAGGUAUCUGGUGAAGAG
rnacentral:piRNA from 1 species